rnacentral:lncRNA from 1 species
CCCAGGAUGGUCAGCAAGCACAAGCACUGAAGGGCCUGGUCUUUCAUCAGCGUCUGCAAGAGCAGAAGAGCCCUGAGACUCUGUGUGGAUUCCCUUCCUGGGAAAGGAAUCAGAGGAUAUCAAGCAGAGACACCAGCUGCUAGAACAAGAGAAGGAACCCAGAGGCAAGUGGAAAUCCACUGUGCUGAGUGCUGUAAGGACAGCUAGAGACAGGCCCUGUCCCAGGCAGCAGAAGAAACAGCAGCAAGCUUCUAAAAGGUAAGAAAAUAGAAACAAUUUAAGAUUAUUUUGCAGGGGCUGGAUUGUUGAAGGAUUAUGUAUUAUAUCUACUGGGGCUGCCUCAUUUUCA